GGUGAGAUAGCUUAUUUGGUAGAGCGCAUUCAUUGAACAUGAAUGAGGAGGCGGUUCGAUCCCCCCUCUCACAACCA
rnacentral:tRNA from 1 species